AUUGAACGCUGGCGGCAUGCCUAACACAUGCAAGUCGGGCGGCAGAAGAGAGCUGGCUCCUUGAUGCAGCGGCAGAGGGGUGAGGGAGGGCUAGGAAUCGGAACGGUACGGGGGGAGAACGUCAGGUAACGGGCGGUAAUGCCGAAAACGUACAGAGGCUGAAGGGGAGAGAUCGUCACACUCCAGGCUAUCGGAUGAGCCUAGGUCGGAUUAGCUAGUUGGAGGGGUAAAGGCCUACCAAGGCGACGAUCCGUAACUGGUCUGAGAGGAUGAGCAGUCACACUGGAACUGAGACACGGUCCAGACUCCUACGGGAGGCAGCAGUGGGGAAUAUUGGACAAUGGGCGAAAGCCUGAUCCAGCCAUGCCGCGUGUGUGAAGAAGGUCUUCGGAUUGUAAAGCACUUUAAGCUGGGAGGAAGGGCAGUAAGUUAAUACCUUGCUGUUUUGACGUUACCAACAGAAUAAGCACCGGCUAACUUCGUG
rnacentral:rRNA from 1 species